CGUGCCAGCAGCCGCGGUAAUACGUAGGGUGCGAGCGUUGUCCGGAAUUAUUGGGCGUAAAGAGCUUGUAGGCGGUUUGUCGCGUCUGCCGUGAAAAUCCGAGGCUCAACCUCGGACUUGCGGUGGGUACGGGCAGACUAGAGUGUGGUAGGGGAGACUGGAAUUCCUGGUGUAGCGGUGAAAUGCGCAGAUAUCAGGAGGAACACCGAUGGCGAAGGCAGGUCUCUGGGCCACUACUGACGCUGAGAAGCGAAAGCGUGGGGAGCGAACAGGAUUAGAUACCCUGGUAGUCCACGCCGUAAACGAUGA
rnacentral:rRNA from 1 species